rnacentral:rRNA from 1 species
CCCGUGACUCGGCGGGAAGCCAUUGAACCUUAUCAUUUAGAGGAAGGAGAAUUCGUAACAAGGUUUCCGUAGGUGAACCUGCAGAAGGAUCAUUG